GCACCGAGCCUGGAUGAAUUAGUCUGUGGUGGGAGAGGGAGACAGAGGGGAAAGAACAAAGAGGCACACAGCAAGAGACAGAGAUAAGAGAGGAGAGCUACAAGAGCAGCACUGAAGAAAACAAUCCCCAUUAAAGUGACUCGGCCUCCUUCACCAUCCCCUCAGCAUCCAGCAGACCAAAGCCGUACAGGUGGCUCACUGACAGGCAGCAGAGGAGGCUGAAUUAUCCUCUCAAGAUUUAGAAAGGUUGGAAAUGACUAGAGUAGCUGUCAGACAUUCAGCAGAGUACCUUUGUAUCCAGCUCCAUUUCUGUGCCAGUCUGGAGCUGUGAGGUGAUCUGCCUUUGAUGUUCGGACAAUAAUGUGCUGAACGUCCCUCCAGUUUUUGGGCGACAUGCUCACUUGGCUUCCAGCAUGAGAGCGAGGAUCCCAGCAGCUACAGAGGAGGACAGCGAGGUUCCUGACAGAGUCCUCCUGCAGGGAAUUUUAGAUUCCUGGUGGCUCGUCUAUGCUCCUGUUAUUGGCAGUGGACCUUGCCUCUGGCUUGUCCCCUCCCCCAACUCCAUCUGGAUGAAGCCCAUCUGAUGCACUAUUCAAACAUGUAGUUUCAUGUUUAGGGAAAGAGAAAAGUCAUUUUGGAGUUAAAUCGAUAACUACUGCUGGUGUAAAGUUGUAGGAAAAUAUUGUUUGAUGCCUAAAACAGCAGGACAUGGUCUCUUCAUGUAGUCUAAAGUGAUUCUGGAGACAAUAACUACGACUUUCAUUGAUGGGAUUUCUGUGUUGGUAAAAUAUUGACAAACCAACUCAACAUUGCAUUUCUUCAAAUGGCUUACAGAAAACUAAAAACAGAUUUUUUUUCCCACAGGAUGUUACAUGUUAUGAUUAUAUGCCACCACUAUGAUGAAAAGAACUGCUCUACCAGGAGCAAAGUGUAUAAAAGAAAGGUUUGGAGCAUAUUUGUUUGAUUGACAGGUGUCUUAAGCCAUCUUGCUCAACUGCUUAGGUUUAUCUGGGACAGCCAACAACAACUCCUGCACCUUCUUUCUCAAAAAAAGUCUCUAUUUACUGGCUUAGAGCAGCAAUCGCAGUAGUUUAAAUCUAGUUAAAGACUGGGACAUUUCUGUACAAGUUCAACAACUGGCAUCAAUUUGAUUUUAUAAUCAUCAUAAGAUAGAGGUGGGCAAACUUUUUGACUUUUGGGCCACAAAGGGGUCUAAAAUUUGGCUGGACUAGGAGCAGAUGCUUUGAGUGUUUUGGUGAUCCACCUUAUUUGUGUUAUUUUUUACCAUAUCGGAAAGAAUAACAAAGUUUUGCUACUCACUGAAUAAUUCUGUUAAAUUUCAGCCAGUAUAAAAUCACAAUCUAAUACUGCGGUGAUGUAUUGAUGGAUGUAGCAGUAGUCAAAACCAGAUGCUUUAAAAAGGCUUCUAUCACAACAUUUUAA